rnacentral:tRNA from 1 species
ACCUGGCUGGCUCAGUUGAAGAGCAUGUGACUCUUGAUCUUAGGGUUGUGAGUUCAAGUCCUAUGUUAGGUG